AGAGUUUGAUCCUGGCUCAGGAUGAACGUCUGGCGGCAUGCCUAAUACAUGCAAGUCGAACGAGAGGAAGGAAAGCUUGCUUUCCUGAAUCUAGUGGCGAACGGGUGAGUAACACGUAGGUAACCUGCCCAUGUGCCCGGGAUAACUUCUGGAAACGGAUGCUAAAACCGGAUAGGUAGCAGACAAGCAUUUGACUGCUAUUAAAGUGGCCUUGGCCAUGAACAUGGAUGGACCUGCGGUGCAUUAGCUGGUUGGUGAGGUAACGGCCCACCAAGGCGACGAUGCAUAGCCGGCCUGAGAGGGCGGACGGCCACAUUGGGACUGAGACACGGCCCAAACUCCUACGGGAGGCAGCAGUAGGGAAUUUUCGUCAAUGGGGGGAACCCUGAACGAGCAAUGCCGCGUGAGUGAGGAAGGUCUUCGGAUCGUAAAGCUCUGUUGUAAGAGAAAAACGGCACUCAUAGGGAAUGAUGAGUGAGUGAUGGUAUCUUACCAGAAAGUCACGGCUAACAUACGUACCAGCAGCCGCGGUAAUACGUAGGUGGCGAGCGUUAUCCGGAAUGAUUGGGCGUAAAGGGUGCGUAGGUGGCAGAUCAAGUCUGGAGUAAAAGGUAUGGGCUCAACCCGUACUGGCUCUGGAAACUGAUCCGCUAGAGAACAGAAGAGGACGGCGGAACUCCAUGUGUAGCGGUAAAAUGCGUAGAUAUAUGGAAGAACACCGGUGGCGAAGGCGGCCGUCUGGCCUGGAUUCUGACACUGAAGCACGAAAGCGUGGGGAGCAAAUAGGAUUAGAUACCCUAGUAGUCCACGCCGUAAACGAUGAGAACUAGGUGUUGGGGGAAUCACUCAGUGCCGCAGUU
rnacentral:rRNA from 1 species